rnacentral:tRNA from 1 species
GAAUAUGAAGCGAUUUAUUGCAAUUAGUUUCGACCUAAUCUUAGGUGCUACGUACCCUUAUUCU